rnacentral:rRNA from 1 species
CGGGGGCCCGCACAAGCGGUGGAGCAUGUGGUUUAAUUCGAAGCAACGCGAAGAACCUUACCAGGUCUUGACAUCCUCUGACAAUCCUAGAGAUAGGACGUCCCCUUCGGGGGCAGAGUGACAGGUGGUGCAUGGUUGUCGUCAGCUCGUGUCGUGAGAUGUUGGGUUAAGUCCCGCAACGAGCGCAACCCUUGAUCUUAGUUGCCAGCAUUCAGUUGGGCACUCUAAGGUGACUGCCGGUGACAAANCCGGAGGAAGGUGGGGAUGACGUCAAAUCAUCAUGCCCCUUAUGACCUGGGCUACACACGUGCUACAAUGGACAGAACAAAGGGCAGCGAAACCGCGAGGUUAAGCCAAUCCCACAAAUCUGUUCUCAGUUCGGAUCGCAGUCUGCAACUCGACUGCGUGAAG